AGUGAACGCUGGCGGUAGGCCUAACACAUGCAAGUCGAACGGCAGCACAGUAAGAGCUUGCUCUUACGGGUGGCGAGUGGCGGACGGGUGAGGAAUACAUCGGAAUCUACUUUUUCGUGGGGGAUAACGUAGGGAAACUUACGCUAAUACCGCAUACGACCUACGGGUGAAAGCAGGGGAUCUUCGGACCUUGCGCGAUUGAAUGAGCCGAUGUCGGAUUAGCUAGUUGGCGGGGUAAAGGCCCACCAAGGCGACGAUCCGUAGCUGGCCUGAGAGGAUGAUCAGCCACACUGGAACUGAGACACGGUCCAGACUCCUACGGGAGGCAGCAGUGGGGAAUAUUGGACAAUGGGCGCAAGCCUGAUCCAGCCAUACCGCGUGGGUGAAGAAGGCCUUCGGGUUGUAAAGCCCUUUUGUUGGGAAAGAAAAGCAGCAGGUUGAUACCCCGCUGUUCUGACGGUACCCAAAGAAUAAGCACCGGCUAACUUCGUG
rnacentral:rRNA from 1 species